rnacentral:rRNA from 1 species
UACGGAGGGUGCAAGCGUUAUCCGGAUUCACUGGGUUUAAAGGGUGCGUAGGAGGGCAGGUAAGUCAGUGGUGAAAUCUUCGAGCUUAACUCGGAAACUGCCGUUGAUACUAUCUGUCUUGAAUACCGUGGAGGUGAGCGGAAUAUGUCAUGUAGCGGUGAAAUGCUUAGAUAUGACAUAGAACACCAAUUGCGAAGGCAGCUCGCUACACAAUAU